rnacentral:rRNA from 1 species
UUCGGAGAGGGAGCCUGAGAAACGGCUACCACAUCUAGGGAUGGCAGCAGGCGCGCAAAUUACCCAAUGCAGGCACUGUGAGGUAGUGACGAGAAAUAAUAAAGCGGGACUUCUGUUUCGCUAUUAUAAUGAGGAAUAACCAAAGGUCAUUCCGAUUAGCAACUGAUGGGAAAGUCUGGUGCCAGCAGCCGCGGUAAUACCAGCGUCAGUAGCAUAUAUUAAAAUUGUUGCAGUUAAAACGUCCGUAGUCUGUACGUCGUUCUAAACUCACUGCAGUCUUCCGUUUUCUUAAUUGAAUGCGGUAGUUUCUGCAGUCACUCCCUUGAUCAAAUUAAGUUGUUCAAGGUAGACCAAGUCUUCAUAUUUUCACAUGGAAUUGGGUGAGGGAACUUAAGAGUUUAAGUUUCUCGUCUUAGGAUCAUCCGGGGUCAUUCGUACUCGUCCGCGAGAGGUGAAAUUUCUUGGACCGGACGAAGACGACCAGCAGCGAAAGCAUCUGUCAGGGAUGUUUUCUGCGACAAAGGACGAAGGUCAGGGUAUCGAAGACGAUUAGAUACCGUCGUAGUCCUGACUGUAAACUAUGCCAACUUGGGUCUUGCUGGGCGAUGCUUUGUGAGACCCACACAGAAAUGAAAGUGUAUGGGUUCUGGGGGUAGUAUGGACACAAGUCUGAAACUUGAAGGAAUUGACGGAAGAGCACCAUAAGACGUGGAGCUUGCGGCUUAAUUUGACUCAACGCGGGAAAACUUACCAGGUCAAGACAUGGGCGUGAUUGACAGGCUAAUGACUUUUCUCGAUUCCAUGGAUGGUGGUGCAUGGUCGCACUUAGUUGGUGCAGUGAUUUGUCAGGUUUAUUCCGGUAACGAACGAGACCUCGGCCUUGUAAAUAGCUAUGCUGCUUACAGGGACAUUGGCGGCUACGCCAAGGAAGCUCGAGGCAAUUGCAGAUCUGGAAUGCCCUUAGAUGUCCUGGGUCGCACGCGUGCUACAAUGACGCCACGAACGAGCUUGCAUGAUGAAAGUUAUGCAUAAUCAGCAGUCGGCGUCUUAAGGGAUAGUCUCUUGUAACUGUGGGACUCCAACUAGGAAUGUCUCGUAAGCACAAGUCAACAUCUUGUGUUGAUUACGUCCCUGCUCUUUGUACACACCGCCCGUCGCUCCUACCGAUCGAGUGUUUAGGUGAAUUUGAUGGACGUAAGGAAGUCAAAUAAACCUGAGCACUUAGAGGAAGGAGAAGUCGUAACAAGGUAGCCGUA